GAUGAACGCUGACAGAAUGCUUAACACAUGCAAGUCGAUGGGGAAGUGGUGCUUGCACCCUGGUAACCAUGGCGGACGGGUGAGUAACGCGUAAGGAACUUGCCUGCGGGACUGGGAUAACAGCAGGAAACUGCUGAUAAUACCGGAUAAGGUCAUUAAGCUGCAUAGCUUAGUGAUGAAAGGAGACGCCUGCGGAGAGCCUUGCGUCCUAUUAGCUAGUUGGAGGGGUAACGGCCCACCAAGGCGAAGAUAGGUAGCCGGCCUGAGAGGGUGGACGGCCACAAGGGGACUGAGAUACGGCCCUUACUCCUACGGGAGGCAGCAGUGGGGAAUAUUGGACAAUGGGGGCAACCCUGAUCCAGCAAUUCUGUGUGCACGAAGACGGUUUUCGGAUUGUAAAGUGCUUUCAGCAGGGAAGAAGGAAGUGACGGUACCUGCAGAAGAAGCGACGGCUAAAUACGUG
rnacentral:rRNA from 1 species